UUUGAUCGAGCCGAGCAGCAGCGGGCGAUCAGGCCUGCGAUCGCGGCCGUAGGUGGCCAGCAACGCCUGCGCCUC
rnacentral:antisense_RNA from 1 species